rnacentral:rRNA from 1 species
GAUGAACGCUGGCGGCGUGCCUAAUACAUGCAAGUCGAGCGAACGGACGAGAAGCUUGCUUCUCUGAUGUUAGCGGCGGACGGGUGAGUAACACGUGGAUAACCUACCUAUAAGACUGGGAUAAUUUCGGGAAACCGGAGCUAAUACCGGAUAAUAUUUUGAACCGCAUGGUUCAAAAGUGAAAGACGGUCUUGCUGUCACUUAUAGAUGGAUCCGCGCUGCAUUAGCUAGUUGGUAAGGUAACGGCUUACCAAGGCAACGAUGCAUAGCCGACCUGAGAGGGUGAUCGACAACACUGGAACUGAGACACGGUCCAGACUCCUACGGGAGGCAGCAGUAGGGAAUCUUCCGCAAUGGGCGAAAGCCUGACGGAGCAACGCCGCGUGAGUGAUGAAGGUCUUCGGAUCGUAAAACGCUGUUAUUAGGGAAGAACAUAUGUGUAAGUAACUGUGCACAUCUUGACGGUACCUAAGCAGAAAGCCACGGCUAACUACGU